UACGUAGGGUGCAAGCGUUAUCCGGAAUUAUUGGGCGUAAAGAGCUCGUAGGCGGUUUGGUCGCGUCUGCUGUGAAAACUGGAGGCUCAACCUCCAGCCUGCAGUGGGUACGGGCAAACUAGAGUGCGGUAGGGGAGAUUGGAAUCCUGGUGUAGCGGUGGAAUGCGCAGAUAUCAGGAGGAACACCGAUGGGCGAAGGCAGAUCUCUGGGCCGUAACUGACGCUGAGGAGCGAAAGCAUGGGGAGCGAACAGG
rnacentral:rRNA from 1 species